CAAGAGGUAGUUUAAUUAAAAGAUUCCGGUUUUGGGGACCGGGGAUGAAGGUUUG
rnacentral:tRNA from 1 species